rnacentral:rRNA from 1 species
AAAUUGCAGGCUGCAACUCGCCUGCAUGAAGUCGGAAUUGCUAGUAAUCGUAGGUCAGCAUACUACGGUGAAUACGUUCCCGGGCCUUGUACACACCGCCCGUCAAACCAUGAGAGUUGGCAACACCCGAAGUCGGUAGUCUAACCGCAAGGAGGACGCCGCCGAAGGUGGGGUUGAUGAUUAGGGUUAAGUCGUAACAAGGUAUC